AACGAACGCUGGCGGCAUGCCUAACACAUGCAAGUCGAACGAGACCUUCGGGUCUAGUGGCGCACGGGUGCGUAACGCGUGGGAACCUGCCCUUAGGUUCGGAAUAACUCCCCGAAAGGGGUGCUAAUACCGGAUAAUGUCUUCGGACCAAAGAUUUAUCGCCUUUGGAUGGGCCCGCGUUGGAUUAGCUAGUUGGUAGGGUAAAAGCCUGCCAAGGCGACGAUCCAUAGCUGGUCUGAGAGGAUGAUCAGCCACACUGGGACUGAGACACGGCCCAGUCUCCUACGGGAGGCAGCAGUGGGGAAUAUUGGACGAUGGGCGAAAGCCUGAUCCAGCAAUGCCGCGUGAGUGAUGAAGGGCUUAGGGUUGUAAAGCUCUUUUACCCGGGAUGAUAAUGACAGUACCGGGAGAAUAAGCUCCGGCUAACUCCGUG
rnacentral:rRNA from 1 species